UGCAGAGAUAAGUUUCGCUGUUUGAUUUUGUAUUUUUCAAUGAAGUCGUUUAUGAGUUUGACUAUUGAUUGAAAUAAGUGUACCUUUGGGACAUGCUUUGUUGUUGUGAGACUUAUGUAAAUCACUGCAUUGAUUUUAAACUUAGUUUUCGAAUAUGGCUGCAACUGGAAGGUUCUAUUUUGUGUCAGACCGGACAGUUGAAAAUGUUCGAAAAGAUAGAGUGCCAAAGAAUACCAUAAGGCACACUACGUGGAGUACAAAUGUGUACAACGCGUGGGUUAAAGAGAGGAACGAGCAGUUUCAGAGGAUUCCAAAUUUAGACUCUAUUAAUUUGGAAGAAAUUAAUUACUGGCUGAGCAAAUUUGCUGUAGAAGUGAGGAAGAAAGAUGGCAGCGAUUACAGACACGAAGUACUGUAUAGCUUGUUUUGUGGUAUGAACCGUACGAUCCAAGAAAGCAAGCCUGAAAUAAGCUUGUUUACAACGCCACAAUUAAAGCCAUUUCAAAACGCGUUAGACGGGCGACUAAAAGAGCUUCAAGGAGCCACUGCUAGUCACGUAAAUAUAAACAUAAAUAUAAACGGACGUUGAUAGCAUGAAUUUUACAGUUGGUCUUGAGUUGGAGUUUGACGUUUAAUUGUUUAGCAAAGUCAUACUUGUGUACAUUUAAAAUUUAAUAUGUUGAAUAAAAUUGUUGAGUGUUUUAGGUUUUCCGUUUGCAUUAAAUAUGGAAGCGGGAAAUUUAGUAAAAGACAAGGGAUUUCUUUGUCUACUAAUCAUCCCGUGCAUUUUUGAUGAGGGAAGAUUAGUAGACAAAGAAAUCUUUUGUUUUUUACUAAAUUUCCAGGGGAAAUUUAGUAGACAAAGCGAAAUAUUCCCUGUUGCAUGCGUAAUGAGGAAAAUACGGGAUUUAAAUUCCCUAUGAGAACAAUAGAAAACGAGGCGAUCAUGAUAUUAUAAAAUUAAAAUAAAAUACGAUCCUGUGUGGUAGCUAUUUUCUC